GCAUAUUUGUUCAUCUGGGAAGCCAUCAAGCUCUGCACUUUAUGUCAUCAAAUUUCCUCAAGCAUGGUAAAAUCUGCGAGCCUGAAGGGUGCGAUCUAGCACUUCAUGAUGACGGAGAUCGGAAACAAGACGCUGCCGUAGGGAGAAAUGUAAUUCGCGAAUUUCUUCUUCCGGAACAUUUUUAUGAUUAUGUAAUCGCUAUGGAGAAAUGACGAUAUUGGCUAAUUAUACGAACAGCUUACGAUUAAA